rnacentral:rRNA from 1 species
UACGUAGGGUGCAAGCGUUAAUCGGAAUUACUGGGCGUAAAGCGUGCGCAGGCGGUUUUGUAAGUCUGACGUGAAAUCCCCGGGCUCAACCUGGGAAUUGCGUUGGAGACUGCAAGGCUGGAGUCUGGCAGAGGGGGGUAGAAUUCCACGUGUAGCAGUGAAAUGCGUAGAGAUGUGGAGGAACACCGAUGGCGAAGGCAGUCCCCUGGGUCAAGACUGACGCUCAUGCACGAAAGCGUGGGGAGCAAACAGG